GCCAGGUGUGGUGGUGCACACCUGUAAUCCCAGCUACUCGGGAGGCUGAGGCAGGAGAAUCACUUGAACUCAGGAGGCGGAGUCUGCAGUGAGCCGAGAUCGUGCCACUGCACUCCAGCCUGGGCAAUAGAGUGAGACUCGGUCUCAA
rnacentral:sRNA from 1 species